ACGAACGCUGGCGGCGUGCUUAACACAUGCAAGUCGAACGGAAAGGCCCUGCUUUUGUGGGGUGCUCGAGUGGCGAACGGGUGAGUAACACGUGAGUAACCUGCCCUUGACUUUGGGAUAACUUCAGGAAACUGGGGCUAAUACCGGAUAGGAGCUCCUGCUGCAUGGUGGGGGUUGGAAAGUUUCGGCGGUUGGGGAUGGACUCGCGGCUUAUCAGCUUGUUGGUGGGGUAGUGGCUUACCAAGGCUUUGGCGGGUAGCCGGCCUGAGAGGGUGACCGGCCACAGUGGGACUGAGAUACGGCCCAGACUCCUACGGGAGGCAGCAGUGGGGGAUAUUGCACAAUGGGCGGAAGCCUGAUGCAGCAACGCCGCGGGCGGGAUGACGGCCUUCGGGUUGUAAACCGCUUUCGCCUGUGACGAAGCGUGAGUGACGGUAAUGGGUAAAGAAGCACCGGCUAACUACGUG
rnacentral:rRNA from 1 species